CCUACGAGAGGCAGCAGUGAGGAAUAUUGGACAAUGGACGCAAGUCUGAACCAGCCAUGCCGCGUGCAGGAUGACGGCUCUCUGAGCUGUAAACUGCUUUUGUACGGGGGUAAUAUCAGAUACGUGUAGCUGCUUGACCGUAUCGUACGAAUACGGAUCGGCUAACUCCGUGCCAGCAGCCGCGGUAAUACGGAGGAUCCAAGCGUUAUCCGGAUUUAUUUGGUUUAAAGGGGGCGUAGGCGGUUUUAUAAGUUAGAAGUGAAAGUUCGGGGCUCAACUCCGGACGUGCCUCUAAUACUGGAUGACGAGAGAACAGAUGCGGUAGGCGGAAUGUAUGGUGUAGCGGUGAAAUGCGUAGAGAUCAGACAGAACACCGAUUGCGAAGGCAGCUUACUAAACUAUAUCUGACGUUGAGGCACGAAAGCGUGGGGAGCAAACAGGAUUAGAUACCCCUGUAGUC
rnacentral:rRNA from 1 species